GAUGAACGCUGGCGGCGUGCCUAAUACAUGCAAGUCGAACGCUGGAAAUCUAGCUUGCUAGAUUGAAGGAGUGGCGAACGGGUGAGUAAUACAUAAGCAACCUACCCACGAAGACUGGGAUAAUCUCUGGAAACGGGGACUAAUACCGGAUAGGUAAUCGGAAGGCAUCUUCUGAUUAUUAAAGGUUAAAAACACUGGUGGAUGGGCUUAUGGCGCAUUAGUUAGUUGGUGAGGUAACGGCCCACCAAGACGAUGAUGCGUAGCCGGCCUGAGAGGGUGAACGGCCACAUUGGGACUGAGACACGGCCCAGACUCCUACGGGAGGCAGCAGUAGGGAAUUUUCGGCAAUGGGGGAAACCCUGACCGAGCAACGCCGCGUGAGUGAUGACGGCCUUCGGGUUGUAAAGCUCUGUUGUAAGGGAAGAACGGUAGAUAGAGAAUAUCUAAAUGGCGGUACCUUACCAGAAAGCCACGGCUAACUACGUG
rnacentral:rRNA from 1 species